GAUGAACGCUGGCGGCGUGCUUAACACAUGCAAGUCGAACGGAAAGGCUCCUGCUUGCAGGGGUACUCGAGUGGCGAACGGGUGAGUAACACGUGGGUGAUCUGCCCUGCACUUCGGGAUAAGCCUGGGAAACUGGGUCUAAUACCGGAUAGGACGAUGGUUUGGAUGCCAUUGUGGAAAGUUUUUCGGUGUGGGAUGAGCUCGCGGCCUAUCAGCUUGUUGGUGGGGUAAUGGCCUACCAAGGCGUCGACGGGUAGCCGGCCUGAGAGGGUGUACGGCCACAUUGGGACUGAGAUACGGCCCAGACGCCUACGGGAGGCAGCAGUGGGGAAUAUUGCACAAUGGGCGCAAGCCUGAUGCAGCGAAGCCGCGUGGGGGAUGACGGCCUUCGGGUUGUAAACUCCUUUCGCUAGGGACGAAGCGUUUUGUGACGGUACCUGGAGAAGAAGCACCGGCUAACUACGUG
rnacentral:rRNA from 1 species